UGAACGCUGGCGGCAGGCUUAACACAUGCAAGUCGAGCGGAUGAAGGUAGCUUGCUACUGGAUUCAGCGGCGGACGGGUGAGUAAUGCUUAGGAAUCUGCCUAUUAGUGGGGGACAACGUUCCGAAAGGNGCGCUAAUACCGCAUACGUCCUACGGGAGAAAGCAGGGGACCUUNGGGCCUUGCGCUAAUAGAUGAGCCUAAGUCGGAUUAGCUAGUUGGUAGGGUAAAGGCCUACCAAGGCGACGAUCUGUAGCGGGUCUGAGAGGAUGAUCCGCCACACUGGGACUGAGACACGGCCCAGACUCCUACGGGAGGCAGCAGUGGGGAAUAUUGGACAAUGGGGGGAACCCUGAUCCAGCCAUGCCGCGUGUGUGAAGAAGGCCUUUUGGUUGUAAAGCACUUUAAGCGAGGAGGAGGCUACCUAGAUUAAUACUUUAGGAUAGUGGACGUUACUCGCAGAAUAAGCACCGGCUAACUCUGUGCCAGCAGCCGCGGUAAUACAGAGGGUGCGAGCGUUAAUCGGAUUUACUGGGCGUAAAGCGUGCGUAGGCGGCCAAUUAAGUCAAAUGUGAAAUCCCCGAGCUUAACUUGGGAAUUGCAUUCGAUACUGGUUGGCUAGAGUAUGGGAGAGGAUGGUAGAAUUCCAGGUGUAGCGGUGAAAUGCGUAGAGAUCUGGAGGAAUACCGAUGGCGAAGGCAGCCAUCUGGCCUAAUACUGACGCUGAGGUACGAAAGCAUGGGGAGCAAACAGGAUUAGAUACCCUGGUAGUCCAUGCCGUAAACGAUGUCUACUAGCCGUUGGGGCCCUUGAGGCUUUAGUGGCGCAGCUAACGCGAUAAGUAGACCGCCUGGGGAGUACGGUCGCAAGACUAAAACUCAAAUGAAUUGACGGGGGCCCGCACAAGCGGUGGAGCAUGUGGUUUAAUUCGAUGCAACGCGAAGAACCUUACCUGGCCUUGACAUACAGAGAACUUUCCAGAGAUGGAUUGGUGC
rnacentral:rRNA from 1 species